rnacentral:sRNA from 2 species
UAUUCUGCCCUACGGGGAAGGAUGAGAAGCUUCGACCAAGGUUCGACUCGAGCGCCAGCGAGAGAACGUUGCCGCAGGCAACGGCCCGAAGGGCGAGGAGCGAUAGCGACGAGUUAUCCUUCCCCCACCACCA